rnacentral:rRNA from 1 species
AGGAUUGUAAACUCCUGUCAUUGGGGAGUAAGACUUAAGCGUUAAGAGCGUUUAAGUUUGAUAGUACCCAAAGAGGAAGGGACGGCUAACUUCGUGCCAGCAGCCGCGGUAAUACGAAGGUCCCAAGCGUUGUUCGGAAUCACUGGGCGUAAAGCGUGUGUAGGCUGCGCGGAAAGUCAAAUGUGAAAGCCCGGGGCUCAACCUCGGAACUGCAUUCGAUACUCCCGUGCUAGAGUAAUGGAGAGGUAAGUGGAAUUCCUGGUGUAGCAGUGAAAUGCGUGGAUAUCAGGAGGAACAUCAAUGGCGAAGGCAACUUACUGGACAUUUACUGACGCUCAGACACGAAGGCUAGGGUAGCGAAAGGGAUUAGAUACCCCUGUAGUCCUAGCAGUAAACGGUGCUCGCUUGGUGUGGGAGGAUUCGACCCCUUCUGUGCCGGAGCUAACGCGUUAAGCGAGCCGCCUGGGAAGUACGGUCGCAAGACUAAAACUCAAAGAAAUUGACGGGGACCCGCACAAGCGGUGGAGUAUGUGGCUUAAUUCGAUGCAACGCGAAGAACCUUACCUAGGCUUGACAUGCUUGUCGUACUCUCCCGAAAAGGAGAGGUCACUUCGGGUGGACAAUGCACAGGUGCUGCAUGGCCGUCGUCAGCUCGUGUCGUGAGAUGUUUGGUUAAGUCCAGCAACGAGCGCAACCCCUGUGAACUGUUGCCAGCGCGUAAAGGCGGGGACUCUGUUCAGACUGCCCAGAUCAACUGGGAGGAAGGUGGGGACGACGUCAGGUCAGUAUGGCCCUUACGCCUAGGGCUGCACACGUACUACAAUGCCCAGCACAAUGAGAACCGAGACCGCAAGGUGGAGGAAAUCUGCAAAACUGGGCCCAGUUCGGAUUGGAGGCUGCAACUCGCCUCCAUGAAGUCGGAAUCGCUAGUAAUGCCGUAUCAGCUACGACGGCGUGAAUACGUUCCCGGGUCUUGUACACACCGCCCGUCACAUCAUGGAAGCCGGUCGCACCCGAAGUAUAUGCGCUAACUUUAUUGAAGCAGUAUCCUAAGGUGAGGCUGGUAACUGGGAUGAAGUCGUAACAAGGUAGCCGUAGGGGAACCUGCGGCUGGAUCACCUCCUUU